rnacentral:rRNA from 1 species
UACGGAGGGUGCAAGCGUUAUCCGGAUUUACUGGGGUUAAAGGGUGCGUAGGUGGGUAGGUAAGUCAGUGGUGAAAUCUUCGAGCUUAACUCGGAAACUGCCAUUGAUACUAUCUGUCUUGAAUACUUUGGAGGUAAGCGGAAUAUGUCAUGUAGCGGUGAAAUGCUUAGAUAUGACAUAGAACACCAAUUGCGAAGGCAGCUUACUACACAGUCAUUGACACUGAGGCACGAAAGCGUGGGGAUCAAACAGG